GACAGAGGGUGCAAACGUUGUUCGGAAUUACUGGGCGUAAAGCGUGUGUAGGCGGCUUUGCAAGUCGGAUGUGAAAGCCCUGGGCUCAACCCAGGAAGUGCACUCGAUACUGCAGAGCUUGAGUGUCGGAGAGGUUGGUGGAAUUUCUCGGGUGUAGAGGUGAAAUUCGUAGAUAUCGAGAGGAACACCGGUGGCGAAGGCGGCCAAACUGGACGAACACUGACGCUGAGACACGAAAGCGUGGGGAGCAAACAGG
rnacentral:rRNA from 1 species